UACGUAGGGUGCAAGCGUUAUCCGGAAUUAUUGGGCGUAAAGAGCUCGUAGGCGGUUUGUCGCGUCUGCUGUGAAAACUGGAGGCUCAACCUCCAGCCUGCAGUGGGUACGGGGCAGACUAAGAGGUGAUGUAGGGGAGACUGGAAUUCCUGGUGUAGCGGUGAAAUGCGCAGAUAUCAGGAGGAACACCGAUGGCGAAGGCAGGUCUCUGGGCAUUAACUGACGCUGGAGGAGCGAAAGCUGGGGAGCGAACAGG
rnacentral:rRNA from 1 species